rnacentral:rRNA from 1 species
GCCAGAGGGUGCAAACGUUGCUCGGAAUCACUGGGCGUAAAGGGCGUGUAGGCGGGAAGGAAAGUCAGAUGUGAAAUCCCCAGGCUCAACCUGGGAACUGCAUUUGAAACUCCCUUUCUUGAGUACCGGAGAGGAAAGUGGAAUUCCUGGUGUAGAGGUGAAAUUCGUAGAUAUCAGGAGGAACACCAGUGGCGAAGGCGGCUUUCUGGACGGUAACUGACGCUGAGACGCGAAAGCGUGGGGAGCAAACAGG